rnacentral:lncRNA from 1 species
AUGGGAUCAAUGGGAUAGAUGGGAUGGGAUAAAUGGGAUCAAUGGCAUGGGAUCAAUGGGAUUGAUGGAUUGGGAUCAACAGGAUCAAUGGGAUGGGAUGGGAUUGAUGGGAUGGGAUAAAUGGGAUCAAUGGGAUAGAUGGGUUGGGAUCGAUGGGAUCAAUGGGAUCACUGGGAUCAAUGGGAUCAAUGGGAUCAAUGGGAUCAAUGGGAUCACUGGGAUCAAUGGGAUCAAUGGGAUCAAUGGGAUUGAUGGAUUGGGAUCAAUGGGAUGGACAUGGGGACACAGUGAACCCACCCGCGUUUCCCACCCCUGCCUGGGGGUCCCAUCCGUGACCCCCCCACCCCGCAGCCAGGUGAGCGCUGGGCGGAGCAGCCGGACAGUUACCUGUCCAUCGAGGAGUGCACGGAGCAGGACAUGUUCUUCCUGGCCCCCGGCGCCUCCGAGCCCGACUCCGACCCCGACGAAAUUUUCCUGAGCGCCCACGAUGAGCUCAGCCCCCUGGGGACCCCCGAGGGACCCCCAGGCGAGGGGACAGCCCUGGAGAACCUGGAGAACCCAGAGAUCACUGAGAUCCCAGAGAUCCCCGAAAUCCUGGAGAUCCCAGAGACCUCAAAAAUCCCAAAAGUCCUGGAGAUCCUGGAGAUCCCAGAGACCUCAAAAACCCCAAAAGUCCUGGAGAUCGUGGAGAUCCCAGAGAUGUCAGAGACCCCAAAAAUCCCAAAAGUUUUGGAGACCCCGGAGAACCAAGAGAUCCUGGAGAUCCCAGAGAUCCCUGAAAUCCUGGAGAUCCCAGAGGUGUCAAAGACCCCGAAAAUCCCAAAAGUCUUGGAGACCAUGGAGAUCCAGGAGAUCCCAGAGAUCCCCAAAAUCCUGGAGAUCCCAGAGAUCCCACAGAACCAAGAGAUCCCAGAGAUCCCAAAAAUGCUCACAGAGAUCCCAAAGAUCCCAGAGAUCCCAAAAGUCCUGGAGAUCCCAGAGACCCCCAAAACCCCAGAGAUUUUGGCCCAAACGCCCCCAGAACAGGAUGGUCCAGGAGUGGGGGACCCCCCCCAGCACCCCCAUGGGGAGGGGGCUGCAGAGGGAGACCCCAGCCCCAAGAUGGGGGUCUGGGGUGAAGGAGGGGGGCUCGGGGGUCCCGCUGGGAAUGGGGGCACGGAUGGAGCUGGAUCCCAGCCUCUCAUCGCAGGGGAGGGGGAUCCCCGGGAUUUUGGGGGGUCUCCUCCAGCCCAGCCC